rnacentral:rRNA from 1 species
AGUUUGAUCCUGGCUCAGGAUGAACGCUAGCUACAGGCUUAACACAUGCAAGUCGAGGGGCAGCAUUUUAGUUUGCUUGCAAACUGAAGAUGGCGACCGGCGCACGGGUGAGUAACACGUAUCCAACCUGCCGAUAACUCCGGAAUAGCCUUUCGAAAGAAAGAUUAAUACCGGAUAGUAUACGAAUAUCGCAUGAUAUUUUUAUUAAAGAAUUUCGGUUAUCGAUGGGGAUGCGUUCCAUUAGUUUGUUGGCGGGGUAACGGCCCACCAAGACUACGAUGGAUAGGGGUUCUGAGAGGAAGGUCCCCCACAUUGGAACUGAGACACGGUCCAAACUCCUACGGGAGGCAGCAGUGAGGAAUAUUGGUCAAUGGGCGCGAGCCUGAACCAGCCAAGUAGCGUGAAGGAUGAAGGCUCUAUGGGUCGUAAACUUCUUUUAUAUGGGAAUAAAGUUUUCCACGUGUGGAAUUUUGUAUGUACCAUAUGAAUAAGGAUCGGCUAACUCCGUGCCAGCAGCCGCGGUAAUACGGAGGAUCCGAGCGUUAUCCGGAUUUAUUGGGUUUAAAGGGAGCGUAGGUGGAUUGUUAAGUCAGUUGUGAAAGUUUGCGGCUCAACCGUAAAAUUGCAGUUGAAACUGGCAGUCUUGAGUACAGUAGAGGUGGGCGGAAUUCGUGGUGUAGCGGUGAAAUGCUUAGAUAUCACGAAGAACUCCGAUUGCGAAGGCAGCUCACUAGACUGUCACUGACACUGAUGCUCGAAAGUGUGGGUAUCAAACAGGAUUAGAUACCCUGGUAGUCCACACAGUAAACGAUGAAUACUCGCUGUUUGCGAUAUACAGUAAGCGGCCAAGCGAAAGCAUUAAGUAUUCCACCUGGGGAGUACGCCGGCAACGGUGAAACUCAAAGGAAUUGACGGGGGCCCGCACAAGCGGAGGAACAUGUGGUUUAAUUCGAUGAUACGCGAGGAACCUUACCCGGGCUUAAAUUGCAACAGAAUAUAUUGGAAACAGUAUAGCCGUAAGGCUGUUGUGAAGGUGCUGCAUGGUUGUCGUCAGCUCGUGCCGUGAGGUGUCGGCUUAAGUGCCAUAACGAGCGCAACCCUUAUCUUUAGUUACUAACAGGUUAUGCUGAGGACUCUAGAGAGACUGCCGUCGUAAGAUGUGAGGAAGGUGGGGAUGACGUCAAAUCAGCACGGCCCUUACGUCCGGGGCUACACACGUGUUACAAUGGGGGGUACAGAAGGCGGCUACCUGGUGACAGGAUGCUAAUCCCAAAAACCUCUCUCAGUUCGGAUCGAAGUCUGCAACCCGACUUCGUGAAGCUGGAUUCGCUAGUAAUCGCGCAUCAGCCAUGGCGCGGUGAAUACGUUCCCGGGCCUUGUACACACCGCCC